CGCCUCUUGUUAUAAUACGAGGUCUGACCUGCCCACUGAUGAUUGAAGGGCCGCGGUAUUUUGACCGUGCAAAGGUAGCAUAAUCAUUAGUCUUUUAAUUAAAGGCUGGAAUGAAUGGUUGGACGAGGUACAAGCUGUCUCAUUUGGAACAUUAUUGAAUUUAACUUUUCAGUGAAAAGGCUGAAAUGUGAUUGGAGGACGAGAAGACCCUAUAGAUCUUAAUAGUGUAUAAAUAUAGUCAAGUUAGAUAGAACUGGACUAGAUUUAAAAGGUAUUCUGUUGGGGUGACAGGAAAAUAAAAGUAACUUUUCUUUUUAGAGAACACGGAUGAGUGAUUAAAUGAUCCAUUUAUUGUGAUUAGAAGACUAAGUUACCUUAGGGAUAACAGCGUAAUCUUUUUCGAGAGUUCUAAUCGACAAAAAGGGUUGCGACCUCGAUGUUGGAUUAAGGAUUAUUUUGGGUGCAGAAGUUCAAAGUUUAGGUCUGUUCGACCUUUAAAUCCUUACAU
rnacentral:rRNA from 1 species